CUCUCCCCUGCCCUCGAAUCUGGGUGAGCCUUUAACUGUGUCCAGUGGGAUGAUGGAACUACAGUCACAGUACAGGAAAAGGGACGUCAGCAAGUGGUCUCUGCUUAUGUUACAGACACCUCUGCAGUCCUGAACUCUGUACAAAUCACGAUAAUAAUCACUAAGAAGUCUUCAAGAACAGAGACUCUACUGAAUUCAUAUUGAGACUUGCCGUCACUAUCAGAACAAUGCUAUAUAUGACAGAGACCCCUGGCUGCUUUUGAUAAAUGAAAUCAGUGAACGGGAAAAAGAUACAUCUCAUCUAAGGAACUUACAAGAGGCUUAUCCUAUGAAAAAUGGGUUGCAGAUAAACAAUUCCUCAUGCGGGAAACCUUGUCAAUAAUGGUAAGAAGCAGCAUGGCCUAUUGGACAGGAAGAUGAGAAGAAAGAACUCAUUUUUAAAAGGACAAGCCACCAUUUUCCUUGGACGUUCAAAGAAAUGUGUGGUCCUCAAAAGCUUGGAAAUUACUGCAUUAAUUUCUGUUCAUCAAAAGAUACCUUAAGUAAGCAGAAAAGCUGGAAUACAAGCCAGGAGAAGAAAUUAUAAUUGUCAUUAAUAUGUGUUCUCAACAGAAUGGAUGACCCCCCCACCUACACUGGUGACAGCAUAUCUUCUUUACCCAGUCUACUUCUGCAAAUGUUAACCUCUUCCAGAAACACUUAUGAACACAUCUAGAAAUUAUGGUGUACUGGCACUCUGGGCAUCCCUUAGCCCACUCAAGGUGACACAUCAAACUAACCAUAACAGUCCAGAAAGAAGAGGAGUAGAAAUCUUACUGUUUUUUUUUUUUAAUUUGCUAUUUAAAUGUUUAUAAUGCAGGCAACAGAUUAAUAUCUUAAAAAUUCAUUCUAAUUACAUGUAGUCACAGAUAACUGAGUAAAUUUAGAAAUGACAGUGAGAAAGUAGUAGUACAAGAAAAUCCAAAUCAAAAACAAAAAGACUUGGCCUUCAAGUACUUUUGAAAAUAAAAACAAUUAAAUGUAAAUUUUAAAUAUGUCUAUAAUAGAGUGCUAUGUUAGUAUUUUCAUCUGAUACUGACAACAGUAAGUCCCUGCUAAUUUCCUUUGGGGGCUAAAAGCUAUAUGAUAUAUGCUAAUACAUUUUCUCGGGUAAAUGACUAAAUUUCAGUUCCGGGUUUAGACUUUUUUGCUUUCUAGGAUAAUAAAGUUCUCAGUCACUUGGAAGUAA